GAUGAAGAACGCAGCGAAAUGCGAUAAGUAAUGUGAAUUGCAGAAUUCAGUGAAUCAUCGAAUCUUUGAACGCAUCUUGCGCUCCUUGGUAUUCUGAGGAGCAUGCCUGUUUGAGUGUCAUUAAAUUCUCAACCGCACUGACUUUGAAUUGGUGUGGCUUGGAUUUGGGGGGAAAAUUGUUGUGGGCUUUUUUGUAUAGUCUGCUCCCCUGAAAUUGAUUAGCGGUACCUUUGUGGAACUGUCUACAGGUGUGAUAAUUAUCUACAUCCUAGACAUCUGCUGGAAUGCUGCUUUCUAAACCUUACUUGUAUUGACAAUCUUGACCUCAAAUCAGGUAGGACUACCCGCUGAACUUAAGCAUAUCAAUAAGCGGAGGA
rnacentral:misc_RNA from 1 species